AUACGUAGGUGGCAAGCGUUGUCCGGAUUUACUGGGUGUAAAGGGCGUGCAGCCGGGACGGCAAGUCAGAUGUGAAAUCCAUGGGCUUAACCCAUGAACUGCAUUUGAAACUGUCGUUCUUGAGUACCGGAGGGGCAAUCGGAAUUCCUAGUGUAGCGGUGAAAUGCGUAGAUAUUAGGAGGAACACCAGUGGCGAAGGCGGAUUGCUGGACGGUAACUGACGGUGAGGCGCGAAAGUGUGGGGAGCAAACAGGAUUAGAUACCCUGGUAGUCCACACUGUAAACGAUGGAUACUAGGUGUGCGGGGACUGACCCCCUGCGUGCCGGCGUUAACACAAUAAAUAUCCCACCUGGGGAGUACGAUCGCAAGGUUGAAACUCAAAUGAAUUGACGGGG
rnacentral:rRNA from 1 species